rnacentral:lncRNA from 1 species
UCGGAAUCCACCAACAAUGAAGCGAUGGUGUCCUCAAGCUGGCUCUCAGCGUCCAAGAUGGUUUCUUUGCAAUCAGCAAGACCUUGUUGAACAUCUGGGUCCAAGUUGGGGUCAUCGAUGAGCAUCUUCACGUCAGUGAGGAUUCCGGAAGCGUUUUUAGCCGCAACCUGCACGCAGACGCAUACGUGCAUAUUACAUCAGUAAAAAUAGAGUACAUGCAAGUUCGUUAUUACCGGUAGUUUCCUAUAAAUGAUUGGACUAAUGACAUAUACAAUACUUGGAUUCUCAAUAUAGAUGCUAAAUAAUUCAUUCUUAUCGAUUACGCGUAUAAUAAGACAAAAGGAUCACCCUAAGAUAAUUAUUUCAUGUCUAUUAAGAACAAAUCAGAUGGUUCUAUGUCUCAAUCUUUUCAACCCGGGAUUCUGUAAGAGUAAGUCCUAAAGAUUGAGAAAAAUAGGACAUUCAAAAAGUAUACAACAGAAAAUAUCAUACCCGAAGUGAUAUGAUUGCGAGGUCCUUGAGGUCACCAUUUUGGGAUCUGAUAGGGUCUGAGUGAAGGAUUUCCACGCACAUUUGCUUGUUGGCUGGUACGAGGUUGCAGACCCUGUUGAUGAGGUCCUUGUUGCCAGCGUUCUUGUUUAGUGCGGUUGUAUGGUGUGCCAGGAAAGCCACACAGAGAGCCAAGACCGUGAAGAGCUUUGUCAUGUGGUCCAUGACUUUUUGGGGGGAAAAAAAUUAUUUCUGAAACUUGUUUUUGUUUUUUUCCCUUCUUCCCCGGGUUUGGCUUUCUGAAGAGCUGUCUGAAGCCACGAGGAAGAGGAAGGUUCAAUGGUUUAUAAUGGGAGAAGGUGAAAUUGGUGUGUGGUGAAUUGAUUGUUUUGCUAAGAUUAGAAUUUUGGUGUUCAAUGCUUAAUUUUAGGGGAUGUUCCAUAAGUUUUACCACAAAAUGAACCCUCCACCAUCGCAUUCUGCGCUACAUGGUGUUGCACUGCUUUUGACCUUUCAUGGUUUUUUUCUAUUUUUGAUUAGUCCACAUUUUGACUUUUUUUUUUUGAUAAGCCAAAAUAUUGCAUUCAAUUUAGCACAAGGGGUGCUAACCUAAAUACAAUGAACAAUGGACUAGAAAAUACUAUAACCAUCAAGAAAUAAAGAGAAUAGAAAAUACAUGAAGCAAAUAAGAAUUCUAUGUCAAACCGGGAUGGGAAAGACAUGCUAAACCUCCAACUAUAUCACUCCUUGUUACUCUACAGUAACACAUACCCAACCCCUCAUAAUGCUUGAAUGUAGUAACUUGGGUUCCUCAACCAUUCGAACCAAGAGUAUGUGAAUCCAUCCGUUUUUGUACGUAGCCACUGCCAAGCCUUAAAUUGUGCCAGCUCUAGUACUUGAUUCCUGUCAAAUUCUUCCCCAUUGAAGACAGUUUUAUUCCGGAGUAACCAUAUAGUCCACACAAUUGACAUCCAAAUAACAUAUUCUCCCACUCUCUGUGCUUUAUUGGUGCCAAUGGAGGGAAAUUGAAGUAAAUGUUCUCGUGGGGAAGGCAACAGAGAUGAGGGAACACCCAACCAAUUAGAACAUGCAUACCAUAUUAAAUUUGUGGCCUGACAUAAGUAGAACAGAUGUGAUGUAGACUCAUCUUCCAAUCCACAAAGGGGGCAUGACGCACCAUCCUCAUUUGUGAUCACCCGGCGCCUAUGGAGAUUAUUCCUCGUCUGGAUUCUGUCUUUCAACAUCCUCCAAGAAAAUGCUAUGACAUUGGAGGGAACAGGUACUGACCAAACCAAUUUAAAAACUGGGUCUACUUCCUCUAAAAUUUGUUCCUGCAAAAACAAAUAAGAUGAGUUAACUGAAUAAACCCCUUCCCCAUCAAGCCUCCAACUCCAUUUGUCAUUUUUAUUCUCUGUUAAGCAAAUGGCCAGCAAUUCCUUCAUCAGAUCAUCUAACCACCCCACCUCCCGGCCUCGUAACCUCCUUCGCCACUUGAAUUUCCAUUUCCACACCCCAUCUGACCACUGCCCCAUUGAUUGAACACACUCCCGUUUUUGGAAUGAGAGAUUAUAUAGUCUGUGAUAUUUUAGAUCCAAGGAACCAGCUCCAAGCCAAUUCUCAAGCCAGAACUUAGUAGCAUCACCCCAAAAACUGUUUUGUGUAAACCAGUUUCAAACCAGUUCCAACCAUCACUUAUGCAUACAACCUGUACAUCUUUCCACCAAGCUGAGUCGCUAUAUUUGCCACUCCUAGCCUUAAUCACUUUGCACCAAAGGCUAUCUGGCUCAUUAAAAAAACUCCAUUUCCACUUUCCAAGGAGAGCCAUAUUAAAUAAACGCCAAUCUUUGAUCCCCAAACCACCAUGAUCCUUGGGUUUACAGACCUCAGUCCAUUUUACCCAAGCUAUCUUACUCACCAUGUCCGCCCCACCCCAUAAGAACCUCCUCAUGAUGCUGGUACAGACAUUCAAAACCCCCACCGGUAGUUUGAAAAAGGAUAAAUAGAACAAAGGCAAUGCAGACAGCACACUCCGAAUUAGACAGAUUCUUCCCCCAAAGGAAAUAUGCUUCUGUUUCCAACUGGAGAGUUUUCCCUUCAGCUUAUUUACAAUCGGAUCCCAGGUUGCCAAGUUAUUUGAUCUUCCUCCCACUGGAAUGCCUAAGUACGUGAAAGGAAUAUUCAUGAGUUUACAGUGAAGUACAGAAGCAAACCUACUCAGACAAUCCCUAUUCACCGCCACACCCGCAAGCUUGCUUUUGUGAAAAUUCACUUUCAGCCCAGAGAUAAGUUCAAAACACCUCAGUAUACAUUUUAGAGUUGUCACAUUUUGCAUGGAGGCUUCACCAAUAAAUACUGUGUCGUCUGCAAAUUGGAGAAUUGACAUAACUAGAUCAGAAGAGUCCUCAACUUUGAAUCCAACAAAAUUGAGAUAACUAGAUCUGAAGAGUCCACAUUUUGACUGAUUUCAGAUUGAUUACUCGUUAGGUAAAGAACAUGUCCAAAAAUGCACGAUAAUUAGAUAGAUUGUUAUGGUUCAGCAAUUGACUUUUAAGUUUUAUUUUUUAAGCAAAUCAUUAUGGGCUUGAAUCUCAACUCGUGUCAAUAGGAAGAAAACAAACUCAGGUUAACCGUAGAUUGAAGAAUUAAUCUCACAGCUACCGAAUUUAGAAUAUCUUAGUCAAGAAAAGAAAAAGAACAAGUAGAAACAUAAACAAAGCUCUCACACACUAACAAAGCCUAAUUCUUGAGGGACUAACAUCAUUGAACUAACGCAUUUCCAAAAAAGAAAACACCAUUGAACUAACAGAAGAAACCAACCAAAAGAAAAAAAAGACAGACUCAAAAAUCUUCUAAUACAAAAUAAUAUCAUUUUUUGUCUUAGUAAUUAAUUACUUUUUUGUCAAAAUAAUAGUUAAUUGCUUACAUUUCCACAGCUUCCACAGCUUCUGAUAUCCUGGAGUUUACUAGUUUUGCCAAUCAAAGCCCAUAAUUUAGGAAUGUUAGGCCCAACUUCCUUUUAGAAUUUCAACUAUAGAGGUUUUUGGUGGACCAAAAACAUAUAGGAUUUUUCGUGGACCAAAUAGGAAGAUUAUAGAUUAUUUACCUAAUUGGAUGCACAUUUUUAUUGAGCAGUCAUCGUCCAUGCCCCAUGGCAUCAGCAUGAAUUGACCUUGUCAAAUUUAUUUGCCCUAAUAGUCUAUUUACCGAGCUACCCCUGCCAUUGCCCGACUUAAUGACGGCUUACGAACUAUAAGUCAACUAAGAAAUUGCUUAGGACUUCAAGAAUUGCGUACCUACUGAUCUAUAUUGACUACAAUAGCCUGACCAAAAUGAGAGGCCAACUCAUAAAGCCCAACAAGCACAAAUAUUUAAAGGAGCUUGUAUGCCUACCGAGCAUUCCUACUUAAUAGCUCAACCUAAAGGUGAGGCCAACUCAUAAAGUCCAAUAAGCACAAAUGCUUAAGAGUUUAAAGGGUUGUGUACUUACAAAGCUAUAAAUCAUGAGAGCACGACUCAAAUGAGGAGGUACAAAACUUACACCACACAUCUUAAGGGAACAACACAACGGAGUAAUAUACACAAGUGCUUAUAAGCUAGAGGAACCAUAAGCCCCAAAUUAAUUAGCCGCUUGUAACCCCUAAAUUAGUGUUUGUUUGGUUUUUAGUUAGAAAGUUCGUCUGAAGCAUUGGAAUUCGAGAUCAUGAUUUCCAAUACACAUUCAACCAACAUAAUGCACUUGUUGGGUUGAGUGAAUGUGCUUUCACAUUCACCACACUGAAAACCAAACAGGCUCUUAAUUGGCCAAUCAUGAUAUCACUUAAUAGCCUGAUGAACCAUGUAAUGAAUACGAAACAUCCAAAUAGCUCAAGAGACAACCUUAAGUCUAUUAAAGACCUAAAGAAACUCGAGUCCAACACAAUGAACAUAUUCACUCAACGUUUUUUUUUAACGACACUCAACAUUAUUCGUAGGGUCUAGGCUUGGUACUUUGAUCAGUGAGCUUGAGUUUCUAAGAGUUUAGAGAGAAUAUGGUUAAACAAUUUCGUGGGACAAGUUAGAAAAUCUCUUCUUAUAAAACCGGCCCCAAUCAACACAUUAUUGACACGGAGCAAAAAUAUUACAACAUUAUUGUCAACAUAACCCUCAAAAAAGAGAUAUGUUGGCAAGAAUGUUGUAAUACUUUUGCUCUGGGUCAAUAAUGUGUUGAUUGAGGCCGGUUUUAUGAGAAUUUGUUGGUUUGGAGAAUGUCUACCACCAAUAAGUUCUCAGUCCAAAAUCAACUAAGGAAACAUCAAAAGAAUUUGGAAGAGCUUAUUUCAGCUUAUCUGACGGCAUAAGCUCUUAUGUCAGUGUUUGGGAGAGCUAAUGCAAACAGCUUAUGGUCUGCUAUAAGCUAUUUUCAGCUUAUUUUCAUAAGCUACUCAGGAUAGCUUAUGAAAAACAGAGUUUAUGCUUAUAUACAGUUUAUUUUUAAUUUAUUUCAAUAAAAUUUAAAAAAUAACUUAUAUACAUCUUUUCAAAAGAAUAUGUUGAUUGGGGGAUGGUAGAAAACAAAUGCUUCCCUAGAGCAAAUAAUUCUCUAAGAAAGAUUUAGAGUCGGCUAAACAGAUCUUGUGGUAAAUAUCACUUGAGAUCAUUCUAAGAUCAUUCUCUUUGAAAGUUAAGAGAUAUUGUAAACCAUUCUUAUAAGUUGAGAUAAAGUUGAAAUUGGAAGUUAUUUUCUGAACUUCAUCUUCUCUGUUUUCUCUACCAAUCUUAACUGGGAGGAAUUUUCAUCUGUCAUUUCCCAACAAAACAAUCCUAUUAAAUGAAAAAACAGGACAUAGAGUAUGAUUUGAUAACAAUAUAGAACUGCUUUCAAAGUUUCUUUUGAAUAUUAUACAAUUGCAUAUAGAAAUUUCUUAUGCAAAAACGUGGAGUUACAUAGAGAAUCAACUACCUCCCCUUUCUCCUGGGUGUCCAAUCCGACCCUCUAAUUCUAUCCUCCCCAGGCAGCUCCACGAUUAUACUUAACGGCUUUCUUGGAGACGCAAUCGGCGCCGGAAGAACCGACGAGCAGCCCUCACCGGGUUCCCAAACCGAAACAGAGCGCGGUUCAGCGGCAGAGGAUUCCGGCGCCGGUUGGACCGGGGCUCGGCAGAGGGGACAGGUGGAGUGAGAGGCGAACCACGCGUCGAUGCAAGGGGAGUGGAAGGAGUGGCUGCAGUUCGGAAGCAAACGGCCUUCGUCGCCGUCGGCGAACUCCGACAAGCAGACGGAGCAGUCCUGGAGGUGGCCUUGGGUUGCGGAGGAGUGAGUGAAGGUGGGGAGAGACUUGAGAACGGAAGGGUCAAGACGUUCUUCCUUGGAGGAAGCGGUGGUCGGAAGUGGAUGCGCGAAGAGGAGGUCAUGGCGGCGGCGACGGCGGCAGAGGUUGAUGUAGGUGCGGACGGAGAUAAAAAUGAGUAUGAGUGUGAAGAGAAGGAUGGCAGUGGCAACCAUGAUCUUGCCGUUUUGGACAUACUUUUGUUCAAUGUCAGGAUCCAUAGCCAUGGCGGAGAAGGAAAUGUGGAAUGCAAACUCAAGUGGAGGGGUUUUUAUUGUGGAUUGAACUGACUGGUGAGAUUAUAUAUAAUAAUAUGCAGAAUCACUUAUUUUUUGAUUUUUAUAACUGUAUUUAUAUUAGAUUUGAUGGUGUGGAAUCAGUUUUCAGUGAUUAUUACUUUUAGAAUUUCAUAUAUUCUCACUCACAAACAUCCUUUGUUCUGUAAUUGAUUGAAUUGCGAUGUUUAUCUGGCACACACUUUUUCUACUUUUACAAAAUUCUCAUCACUAUUAUUAAGUUAUUAUUAUGAAUCUUUCCAUUUUCCCGUGUGGUGGUGCAGUAAUUUGAUUAGUAUUAUUCUUCUUCCUUUUGGCAUCUCAGAAAAGAGAAAUUGAAACUUGAAAGAGACAUGGUUUGGUAAGGGUUGGAUUCUUGUGAUGUGUCCUGAAAACAUUAGCCAAAGCUAAAAUACAUGUAACACGUUUAACUAAAAUAUUAAACCUUUCUAAAUUGAGGAAUUUGCCAACUUAGCAUCAACAGUUACAAUUUCAAUUUAUAAUUUUAAAUCCUCAUAUAUUUUUCCUAAAUUAUUAUGUUUGGUAGAAAAACUCGUAGCCACUGAUCCACUUGAAAGAGAGCACUAUUUGGAGUGUUAAUUUAGUCCAAAUUAAAAGUAACCAGUUGACAAGACCUUUUUUUGGACUUAUCCGUUGGUUUGGUUUUGUGACUGACUCUUAUCCGGCAAACCACAGUACAUGGAAAAAGUUGCAAUUUGCGGCCCAUAUAAUUGAACAAAUGUGACUGAGAAAGUGUUCACAUGAUAGUUGUCAUUUAAGAGAGAAAUUUGAGCCUGUCUCCAUGUGCUUUAGUUCUUAAAAGAAGAAGAAAAUUGAAAAACAAAUCUAGGAUUGAGAGAUGGAAUGAAUAGAAAAAGGCAGCCAAAGGAGCACAAGUGCUUAGCAAGAAAGUUACUUAACUAUGGAUAAAAAAGCAAGUUACUAAUAAUGCAUCACAACUACUCUAACUAUAUAUCGAGUAAUGUUAAUUAAUCUUUGUCAAGUUAUGCCUCCUUAUCUUAUGCGCAGUGAUCACAAACACGCCCUCUUGCUCCUUAACUAGUGGACUAGUGGUGUUAAGCCAAGUUGUUUCAUAUCAAUGCAGCAUGGCUUUGAGUGACCAACAAUCCUUGUUAUACAUUGUGGAAAAAACCGAACAAGUGGAAUUAGCUUUAAUGUAACUCAUGCUCUCUUUUUCUCAAAGAUGUUUAAAGUACACAAAAAAAAGAUUGUUUAACGAGUCAGAAUGUAAGUUCCAAUAAACGAUAUUGCAAUGCAAAUAGACAAAAAAGAUAAGAACAGAACAUGCACACUCAAACUGAUACAUUACAUUCAACUAAAAACAUAAGUAAAAAGCCCUAAAACUAUGCAAAACCCCCCCCCCCCCCCCAAAAACUCUAAAUUUCAACAAUGAGACUAAAGUUCCACUCUGGUCUCUAAUCGUUUUCUACAUGCAAAAAUUUGAUAAGGUCUUGUCUAAACUCUGUUAAGGGCCCACUCAAAAAAGGAAAAAAUACUGUUCCUCUUGCUUAUCAAGGAAAAAUUUUGAGGAAUUGAAAGACCCUUUCACCUCAGAACUCAAAAUUCAUAAAUUGGAGAUGGAGUUAGGGGAUACUUGUUAAUGAAGUUUUUUUUUUUUCAAAGACGUGUUAGGAUUACUCUAGAAUUUUAAACUAAAAGUUCGUGUCAAGUUAAAACAGGUUAUAUUCUACCCUGUUAUAGAUACCCUCCACUUAUUAGCUACAAUAAGAUAAAGACAAGAGAAUCAUCCAAUGGGAUGAGAUUGGAAUCCAUGGGAAUAUCAUACCUGGAGCAGUUCAUCAUCAUAUGAAAAUAUGAAAUAGUAAUUGCUCUGCCACUCAAAUUCUUUGUUUACAUACGUGAAAAAAACAUUUUAGUUUUUUACAUAGGAAAAUUGGCUAUGCUCUUUCUGAAUCAACUAACAAAAUGUAUGUUUAUUGAAUUUUUUUUACGGCAAAAGUAUGUCUAUUUACUUUAAUUAAUAGGGCAUUUACAAAAUUGAUUUUGAUAAUUUAAAUUUAUCACAUUUUUUAAAAUUAAAUUUAUAACAUUUUUUUAACAACUUUAAUUUAUAACAUUAAUUCUAUUAAAACGAGUUUGAAAUAAUAUAACAUAUGAAAAAUAUCGCCAAAUUACAUUAGAAUAUAACAUGAGUCCUUGAAUUAGUGCAGGAGUUACAUUUUUAUUUUUUGGUUACAGUGGAAAAAGGAGUUACAUGUUUGUUUUUUUAUAUGUAAUCUAUCAUAUUUUAAACAUUUAAAAAAAUUUAUAUGUAAGAUGAUCUUCUGCUAUAAAAUAAUAUAAUUUUUUGGGGUCAAAAGAUACUUAGAUGGCCUCGAAUCCACGCUUGAAGUCCACCAACACCGGGCUUGCCCCAAGUUGAGACCAAAACAAAAGAAGUCCACCAACACCUGUCCAAACACACAGCCUUUUUUUUUGGUUUAUGUGAAAACAUUGGAGCCUAGAAUAUAAGCACAAAAAUUAUAAUAAGCUCUAGUCCUCACAUGUACCCACGAGGCCACGACGAGCCAAGCCACCACCGUCUACGGUGGCACCUCCGCUGCCUCAACUUAUGUUGUCUGUGCACUCCUUUCAUCUGAUAUAUAUAUGGUCUUCUGCUUCUCUUGGUUCUUGUUUUAAGGGUGUUGAAUAUGUAUCUUUGUUGAUGAUGGCUUGAAGUAGAGGUGAAAUUUUGCAGCAGAGACAACAAGGCUUGGAAAAUAAAAGAAGCGACAUCAAAAUAUAAUAUUAAAUUUUUGCUUCAAAAGCACUAUAAUUGAUCUAGAGACCUUCCAUCUCCAACCCCAUAUAUCCCACAUAUCUUACCACUUAAGCUAUCAUUUAGAGAUUUACAUGUAUUAUAUUUAGUUCUUUUUAAAUACAAUCAGUCAUACCUAAAUUUCCAACAAAUAACGAACAUGUAUACAUAAUUUAAAAUUGGAUAUGGAAGUGCAUAAUCCAUUGAUAAAUACUAGUAACAUUUUUAUUUGACAUUUCUUUCUUUAAUUUGUCAAAAUCUACGUAGAGUUCGUUUAGCUCCACAUCCAAGUUGGUGGACAUAUAUGAAUUUAAACUAAUUAAAGAAAGAGGGCAGAAAAGAGAGUAUAAAUAAGUGUUGCUAGCACUUCUCACUAUAAUAAUUGAUCCGCAAAGUGUUAUGGAUUCAUUAAAAAGGCCACAAAGCUCUAUAUAUGAUAUAUUAUAGAAAUUCACAUACACCAAGAGAUAAAAAAGCGGGGAGACAGAAAUCGGAUCGAUUCAACUCAUCUAAAUUGAGAGAAACAGUAUAAACUUUAGAUAAAUUCUUUAGAGGGUAAAGCAAGUCAUCACAAUCAGGGACGGAUGCAAGUUCAAUGAUAUGAGGGUAAGUGCCCUCACUUAAUCCUGGAAAAAACAUUAGAAAAAAAAUUGAGUAGUAAAAGUAUGUGGUUUUUUAUGACCUCUUUGAUAAAGAAUGCCCUCACUGAUGUCCCACAUUGCUAAAUGCCCUCACUUGCGUCUCACAUUGCUAAAUGUUCUCACUUGAGUAGUAAAAGUAUGUGGUUUUUGAUAGUCUUUGGUAAAAAAUGUCCUCAUUUGUGUUCCCUUUAGUAAAAAAUGUCUUCACUUCUAAUAUUAUAUGUCAAUUUUUUUAUUAUGAAUUUAUAUAUAUAUUUUGCCCCCGCUACAUCAAAUUUCUGGAUCCGUCACUGAUCACAACCAUUAAUAUUGAUUACCUACUUUAAAAACUUAAUAAAACAACUAAAUCAAUUGUUAUGAUGUCGCUCUACCCUAUAAAGUGAGUCAACCAGACUCAAACAAAAGAUAUCAUAGGUGUUCAUCUUAAUUACAAUGGAUUUUUUCCUUUUAUAAAAGGGGAAAACUUAGAUACAGUACCAUUCAUACAGUUGGUACUGUUUUCCAAUAAAAAAACGACACUUGUCCCAUUAAUGAUUUUUUCAUUUUUAACUUCUUCCCUGUAACAAUUCACCGUCGUAUCUUAUCUUCAACCUUCUUAUUCCCAACCAGCUUUUUCCCGAAACCCAUAAAUUUAUGCUUCCAGAACCUUACCCUUCCCCUUCCCCUUCCCUCAGCCCACAUCCGAGAAAGCGAUCUCGCCAUGAGAAAACUCAUCAUCACCUUCCCCUCCCCAAACCCACCAUCGCCAGAUCUGGAAAACCCAGUAAACCCAAACCCACCAUCACUCUCUCUGUGAAGCACCUCCUAUCCUCCAGGUCCUUCGAUCUGCUGCGUUUGCUUCCCGCUCCUUCAAGACUAAAGCCAUGCACCUGUUUGACGAAGGUUCUGUCCCACCAUCGUGCAAAUCACGUUGCGUCGCGCGCGCCGAAUCACCACCGCGCGGGGACCCAAGUCUGUCACCAGCAUCCCCUUCUUCUCGCAUGGCCUCAAUGGACUUGUGACCUCUCUGUCGUCGAGCCCCAUGCGUUUUCAAUCUGAUUCUGAUUUCAAGCUUGAAAUUUGGAUUGGAGGUGAGGGAAAAGAGGGGUGGGAUGUGGGGAAAAGCUAGCUCAACCCAUUUUCUGGAACCUUCGUGAGAAAAUAUUUGCAGUGAUACACUUAGUAGAAGUCGUACAACACAAUUUCAAGCUACUUUUGUGCACCAGGAUAUUUUUGCAUACCACGAUUUCAAGCUAUGUUUGCAUACCACGUUUGCAGUGAAUUUCUUUGUGUUGGUGAGGCAGGCAUGGAGAAUGAAAAGCCAAUAUCGAUAGGAAUUGGAUCCAAAGUGAGAAUUGAAAGUUUUUUUAAUUGGAAUUCAGAUGCAGAAACCGGUAGCAUUACACCGUGACUUGUUACAGGGAAAGCAGUUAAAAAUGAAAAUAUUAUUGAUGGGACAGAUGUUAUUUUUUUAUUGGUAAACAGUACCAACUGUAUGAAUGGUACUGUAUCUAAGUUUUUCCCUUUAUAAAAAAGGAGAAGCUCUACCCAUAAAUCCUCUUAAGGCUUGAGCCUUAACAAAUGCGGUCUAAGCGUUCGUUAACUACUACAAGUAAGACAUUGUUGCUCGCUUAAUUAAAAUCACUCGCCAAAUGAGGACACUACACAUUGCAUUAAGAAGUCUCUUGCAAGAUGAGAGAAUCAUCGAUGAGUGGUCGCUCGCAUGAUGGAGGAAUCGCCCUUAGCCUCUCAACGGAUCCUCCAUCCGCCCACUUGAGCCCAAUAGAGGCAAAAUAAUCAUUUAUCACUCUUAACAUGAGGUGAAAUUUAGGUAGGAAUAAUUUCCCACCACGAUAUUUACAUGUUAUGUGUGCUAUGCAAUCUCAAUGUGCUCAUCCAAAACGACGGGAGUUGGGUUUGGGGCCUCCCCUAUGGGGCUGCGCGCCCCACCCUUUUUUUUUAAACCCAAAAGUGCCCUACGGAAAGGUACUUUCCGUAUUCAAUUUAACUUAAUACGGAAAGGUACUUUCCGUAUUAUAUUUUGAUGACUACGGAAAGGUAUUUUCCGUAUUUAACUCUGACAGGAUUCCCCCUUUUUCCACCAUUACUCCUCCCUCACCAACCCCUUCACCAACCCCUCACCAGCCCCCCUGAACCUCCUCAAUGCCUCCAGACCACCCUCUCUCUCACCCUCUCCUACCUCACUUUCAUUCCCAAGCUCUCCACCACCAUCCAUUCCUUCAUUUCCCAAGCUCUCCACCACUAUCAACAAGUGUUGUAGUAGAGGUAAGUCUAUGUGUUUAUUUGUUGUUAUUUUGUAGGAUUAAGUAGUGGAAGUAGUUAGAUUAAGUAGUUUAAGUAGUUAGAUUAAGUAGUUUAAGUAGUUAGAAAGAUGGUUUUUUGAAUUCUGAGUUGUGAUAUAAUACGGAUUGUUAUCUUCCGUAUUCAGUAUGGAAAGUAACAAUCUGUAUUCAGUAUGGAAAGUAGCUUUCCGUAUUGAGUAUGGAAUGUAACUUUCCGUAUUCUCUUCCAGGGAUGACAGAUUCAUUUUUCUUUGGUGAGUCACAAUUGAUUGAAGCUGGAUUUCACAAUGGUCAACCUGAAGAGGCCACUACAGAGGUGCCACCACCAGCAUUUGUGCCCCCGUGUAUAAGUAUAGAUGUCUCGCAUUUAUUUGCAACUGAUCAGGUAUUCUUUGAACAUAUUUUUGCAUUGUUUUGAGAGUGUAAUAUAUCAAUUCUUAUUAUGUCUUGAUCACCCUUGUAAUCAAUUCUUAUUAUUAUAACAGAUUUUCCCUACCCGUGAUGAUCUUAUCAAUUGGGUGUUCAUGGAAUUGCGAUUGAAAAUGGAUAUGUUACGUUGAUCACAAAGUCAGAUUAUGGUGGGAAUGGAAGCAGAAAAGCUUAUGUCAUGUUGGGGUGCGAGAAGCAUGGUAAAUAUGUUCCUUAUAGAGACCCUGACCUUGUUGAAGGGACGAGAUCACAAAAGACAGGUUGUCCUUUUAGACUAAAAGGACGACCUAGGAAAAAUGGCAUAGAUAGAGAUUGGCGGCUAAAGGUGAUGGAAGGUAUACACAACCAUGAACCAGCUAGGUCACUACUUGGGCACAAUUUUGUUGGUCGUCUAAAACCCGGAGAGAAGGAGCAAGUGGAAGUUGGACGGUGACAAGUAUGUCCACUUUGAAAGACAUGAGCCUGGAUCGGAAGUCAUUAGAGAUGUAUUUUGGGCUCAUCCAAAUGCUAUCAAACUGUUCAACACAUUCCCGUAUGUAGUGAUUAUGGAUUGCACAUACAAGACAAACAAAUAUGCAAUUCCCUUGCUUGAGAUUGUUGGACUGACUUCCAUAGAUAAGACAUACUCCAUAGCCUUUUGCUACAUUGUUAAUGAGGGCACAGAUGACUACAUUUGGGCACUGGAGUGUAUGAAGUCUCUAUUAUCUGAUCAAGCCAUGUUGCCCCCGACUCACUCUUCCUCCUGGUGAUCCGGCUACCGAGGAUAAAUGGAUGCAACUGCCAGAGAUGGGAUACCUUGUAGCAACCAGGUUCCAAGUGGUUUUCAUAUCCAUCUCCUCUACGGGUUGUUGGUCAUACCUUCCACUAAGAGGAGAAGGUCCACCGGAUGUACAUCAUGUUAUAGCUGUUGGUCAUGUGAUAAAUCACUUUGUACAGAUAUUUUUUGAUUGAGUACACUAAUAUCCAAUUGGUGAAUUGAUUUGUUGUAUUUGCAAGUUAUCUAAUUUUAUUGUUAUUCUCUAUAAUGUAGCUCCAUCUAACUCCUGGACAUUCUAUGCCGCCAAUUGCUCUCCAGUGGGAACGGUAUGUUGAUCCUACAUCAGUAAGCUGGUGCGCCCCAUAUGGUACACGUUUAGGCAGAUUCACAUCAGAAUUCGAAGCUUGGCUUGUUACUUUUGGUGUUCCUCUUAGUCACCAAAGCUAUGUAGACAUCACCUCAGAUUGACACUACACUUUUGUGUGAUAUUCAUUUGUAAACGCUCUGUAAUAUUAAUCUGAUGGGCCUUGCCUUUAUGAUGUUCAUUUGUAAACGCUCUGUAUUUGCUCGCUUUUUGUCCAGCUUCUUUAACCGUAAAUUUUUUGUCUCAUUUUCUCUCACGAUUGCAUUGAUUUAGGACCCUACGGGCACCGUUGACGCUAGCGUCCAUCGCAAGGCCUUCACUGACGGGGAAUUUAGGAAUGUCAUAACUGUUGGAUCUGUUCUUGUUCUCCAAAAGGUCUAUUACCUUAAACAUUAAUCUUGCUUUCUUUGAACAAGUACGCAUUAAUCUUUUAAAUUUGCAAUUUACUUGCAGGUUGCUGUGUUUGCACCGAGUAAAUCUGUUCGUUAUCUGAAUAUAACGUUGCCCAACAUAGUCAAAGUAUUUCCACAGGAUAGCGGACCCCACGACUUCAUCGAUAUCACUGAGGAUUAAUUUUGUUUUCGUGUUGCUUCUGAAUAAUUUCGGGUACCCUUUAAACUGUUUGCCAUGAAAUAUUUAUGUUACUUAUCCUGCCUUUGAUUAUUUACGGUGUAGUUAUACGGGUUUUUUUCAAUACAAGAGUCGGCAAAUAAUGAGUGAAAAUAGAAAGCAUGAUUAAUAUAAAGAGAGUCCUAAUACAAAGAGUCACAUGUCAUAAUAUAAAAAUACAAAAAAAAUAUACAAAUAUACAGUCAAUCACUCGCCCCGACCCCUACCGGCCCCCCUACGACCUCUAGGUCCACGAGCUCUGCCUCCACGGCCUCUACCUCCACGCGCACCCUCUGCAGGAGCACCCUCUCCACGGGCUCUGCCUCCACGCGCUCUGUCUCCACGACCUCUGCCUCCUGCAGCUCUAGCUCCUCGGACAGCAGCAAAGGCUACCCCCUGGGUACCAAUGAAGGCAUUGGAUCUAAUAAGAUCCAGCGCCCUCUCAGUGAGGGAUCGGGAAUGCGUGCCCUCUGCAAGAGCAUCUGGCACCUCGAGUGACUGCUCCAACAAGUCCACGGCCCGACGCAUAACAGUCUGCAAAAAUAAUGUAGAUACAUUAGAUACAAAUAAAAUAUCAUGAACAAAAAAUCACAAUUGAAUGGAAAAUAAAAUUCAAACUUACCACCGCACUGAACUCCUCCCUCCUAUCAUCAGGGAUGAUGAACCGAUGGGACAUAGCGCUGUACCACCUCAUGUAAUCCUCCACAGCCUCUCCCGGAUAUGUAGCGGGGAUCCCCUGAGGGCGGAGGUGCGGCGCAAACUCAGCAAAGGCAGCAUCUGCGGUCUCAGCAAGGGACCCAGACGUCUGGAUCUCAGAGGGGUGUCGAGGGACAUCCUGUAUGAAGUCAAACUGGCGCAGAACCCUCUCUGGUAGAUGCCGUCGAACAACACGGCCAAAUGGCGACCGGAUGUAGCCAGAAUACAUGGCCCUCGGAUCCCGUGGUCGAUGAGCCCGAUGGUCCUCAAAUGGGGUCCAUAUAAUGUCAUCCACCGUCAGCUCAUCGAGCAUGACUCGCCUCUCAUCAAGGCCUGCAUGCCUGACCCGGGACAUAGCCCACCGCCGCGCCCUAGGCUGGUCCUGCGAGUACUCCGGAUCCGCCCUACGGAUAAUGACGCGGUCAGAAAGGUACUCGUAGA